AACGAACGCUGGCGGCAGGCUUAACACAUGCAAGUCGAGCGCCCCGCAAGGGGAGCGGCAGACGGGUGAGUAACGCGUGGGAACGUACCCUUUGCUACGGAAUAGCUCCGGGAAACUGGAAUUAAUACCGUAUGUGCCCUACGGGGGAAAGAUUUAUCGGCAAAGGAUCGGCCCGCGUUGGAUUAGCUAGUUGGUGGGGUAAUGGCCUACCAAGGCGACGAUCCAUAGCUGGUCUGGGAGGAUGAUCAGCCACAUUGGGACUGAGACACGGGCCAAACGCCUACGGGAGGCAGCAGUGGGGAAUAUUGGACAAUGGGCGCAGGCCUGAUCCAGCCAUGCCGCGUGAGUGAUGAAGGCCUUAGGGUUGUAAAGCUCUUUCACCGGAGAAGAUAAUGGCGGUAUCCGGAGAAGAAGCCCCGGAUAACUUCGUGCCAGCCGCCGCAGUAAUAC
rnacentral:rRNA from 1 species